rnacentral:rRNA from 1 species
AUUGAACGCUGGCGGCAUGCCUUACACAUGCAAGUCGAACGGUAACAGGUCUUCGGAUGCUGACGAGUGGCGAACGGGUGAGUAAUGCAUCGGAACGUGCCCAGUAGUGGGGGAUAGCCCGGCGAAAGCCGGAUUAAUACCGCAUACGACCUGAGGGUGAAAGGGGGGGAUCGCAAGACCUCUCGCUAUUGGAGCGGCCGAUGUCAGAUUAGCUAGGUGGUGGGGUAAAGGCCUACCAAAGCAACGAUCUGUAGUUGGUCUGAGAGGACGACCAGCCACACUGGGACUGAGACACGGUCCAGACUCCUACGGGAGGCAGCAGUGGGGAAUUUUGGACAAUGGGCGCAAGCCUGAACCAGCAAUGCCGCGUGCAGGAAGAAGGCCUUCGGGUUGUAAACUGCUUUUGUCAGGGAAGAAAUCGUCUGGGUUAAUACCUCGGGAGGAUGACGGCACCUGAAGAAUAAGCACCGGCUAACUACGUGCCAGCCGCCGCGGUAAGAC